UACGUAGGGUGCAAGCGUUUAAUCGGAAUUACUGGGCGUAAAGCGUGCGCAGGCGGUUUUGUAAGUCAGAUGUGAAAUCCCCGGGCUUAACCUGGGAACUGCGUUUUGAAACUACAAAGGCUAGAGUGUGGCAGAGGGGGGUGGAAUUCCACGUGUAGCAGUGAAAUGCGUAGAGAUGUGGAGGAAUACCGAUGGCGAAGGCAGCCCCCUGGGAUAACACUGACGCUCAUGCACGAAAGCGUGGGGAGCAAACAGG
rnacentral:rRNA from 1 species